GAUGAACGCUGGCGGCGUGCUUAACACAUGCAAGUCGAACGAAGCACUUUAUUUGAUUUCCUUCGGGACUGAUUAUUUUGUGACUGAGUGGCGGACGGGUGAGUAACGCGUGGGUAACCUGCCUUGUACAGGGGGAUAACAGUUGGAAACGGCUUCUAAUACCGCAUAAGCGCACGGCAUCGCAUGAUGCAGUGUGAAAAACUCCGGUGGUAUAAGAUGGACCCGCGUUGGAUUAGCUAGUUGGUGAGGUAACGGCCCACCAAGGCGACGAUCCAUAGCCGAGCUGAGAGGGUGACCGGCCACAUUGGGACUGAGACACGGCCCAAACUCCUACGGGAGGCAGCAGUGGGGAAUAUUGCACAAUGGGCGAAAGCCUGAUGCAGCGACGCCGCGUGAGCGAAGAAGUAUUUCGGUAUGUAAAGCUCUAUCAGCAGGGAAGAUAAUGACGGUACCUGAAUAAGAAGCACCGGCUAAAUACGUG
rnacentral:rRNA from 1 species